CCUACGGGUCGCUGCAGUGGGGAAUAUUGCACAAUGGGCGCAAGCCUGAUGCAGCCAUGCCGCGUGUGUGAAGAAGGCCUUCGGGUUGUAAAGCACUUUCAGCGGGGAGGAAGGCGGUGAGGUUAAUAACCUUGUCGAUUGACGUUACCCGCAGAAGAAGCACCGGCUAACUCCGUGCCAGCAGCCGCGGUAAUACGGAGGGUGCAAGCGUUAAUCGGAAUUACUGGGCGUAAAGCGCACGCAGGCGGUCUGUCAAGUCGGAUGUGAAAUCCCCGGGCUCAACCUGGGAACUGCAUUCGAAACUGGCAGGCUAGAGUCUUGUAGAGGGGGGUAGAAUUCCAGGUGUAGCGGUGAAAUGCGUAGAGAUCUGGAGGAAUACCGGUGGCGAAGGCGGCCCCCUGGACAAAGACUGACGCUCAGGUGCGAAAGCGUGGGGAGCAAACAGGAUUAGAUACCCGAGUAGUC
rnacentral:rRNA from 1 species